GUGCUUGCUUUGGCAGCACAUAUACUAAAAUUGGAACGAUACAGAGAAGACUAGCAUGGCCCCUGUGCAAGGAUGACAUGCAAAUUUGUGCAGCCACAUAGCA
rnacentral:snRNA from 1 species